GACGAACGCUGGCGGCGUGCUUAACACAUGCAAGUCGAACGGAAAGGCCCUGCUUUUGUGGGGUGCUCGAGUGGCGAACGGGUGAGUAACACGUGAGUAACCUGCCCUUGACUUUGGGAUAACUUCAGGAAACUGGGGCUAAUACCGGAUAGGAGCUCCUGCUGCAUGUGGGGGUUGGAAAGUUUCGGCGGUUGGGGAUGGACUCGCGGCUUAUCAGCUUGUUGGUGGGGUAGUGGCUUACCAAGGCUUUGACGGGUAGCCGGCCUGAGAGGGUGACCGGCCACAUUGGGACUGAGAUACGGCCCAGACUCUUACGGGAGGCAGCAGUGGGGAAUAUUGCACAAUGGGCGGAAGCCUGAUGCAGCAACGCCGCGUGCGGGAUGACGGCCUUCGGGUUGUAAACCGCUUUCGCCUGUGACGAAGCGUGAGUGACGGUAAUGGGUAAAGAAGCACCGGCUAACUACGUG
rnacentral:rRNA from 1 species